rnacentral:rRNA from 1 species
UACGUAGGGGGCUAGCGUUGUCCGGAAUCAUUGGGCGUAAAGCGCGUGUAGGCGGCCCGGUAAGUCCGCUGUGAAAGUCCAGGGCUCAACCCUGGGAUGCCGGUGGAUACUGUCGGGCUCGAGUCCGGAAGAGGCGAGUGGAAUUCCUGGUGUAGCGGUGAAAUGCGCAGAGUAUCAGGAGGAACACCAAUGGCGAAGGCAGCUCGCUGGGACGUGACUGACGCUGAGACGCGAAAGCGUGGGGAGCAAACAGG